rnacentral:rRNA from 1 species
GACGAACGCUGGCGGCGUGCUUAACACAUGCAAGUCGAACGGAAAGGCCCUGCUUUUGUGGGGUGCUCGAGUGGCGAACGGGUGAGUAACACGUGAGUAACCUGCCCUUGACUUUGGGAUAACUUCAGGAAACUGGGGCUAAUACCGGAUAGGAGCUCCUGCUGCAUGGUGGGGGUUGGAAAGUUUCGGCGGUUGGGGAUGGACUCGCGGCUUAUCAGCUUGUUGGUGGGGUAGUGGCUUACCAAGGCUUUGACGGGUAGCCGGCCUGAGAGGGUGACCGGCCACAUUGGGACUGAGAUACGGACCAGACUCCUACGGGAGGCAGCAGUGGGGAAUAUUGCACGAUGGGCGGAAGCCUGAUGCAGCAACGCCGCGUGCGGGAUGACGGCCUUCGGGUUGUAAACCGCAUUCGCCUGUGACGAAGCGUGAGUGACGGUAAUGGGUAAAGAAGCACCGGCUAACUACGUG